AUUGAACGCUGGCGGCAGGCUUAACACAUGCAAGUCGAACGAGUGGCGGACGGGUGAGUAAUGCUUGGGAAUCUAGCUUAUGGAGGGGGAUACCUACGGGAAACUGUAGCUAAUACCGCGUACCAUAGGAUGAGCCCAAGUGGGAUUAGGUAGUUGGGUAGGUAAAGGCUCACCAAGCCGACGAUCUCUAGCUGGUCGUAGAGGAUGACCAGCCACACAGGGACUGAGACACGGCCCAGACUCCUACGGGAGGCAGCAGUGGAGAAUAUUGCGAAAUGGGGGCAACCUGACGCAGCCAUGACGCGUGAAUGAAGAAGAACUUCGGGUUGUAAAGUUCUUUAGGUAGCGAGUCGUUAACGACAGAAGAAGAACCGGCUAACUCCGUGCCAGCAGACGCGGUAAUUC
rnacentral:rRNA from 1 species